ACGUGGCUUGGGACCGUGUGGAGAGUGCGGGCGCUGGACAGCAGCUCCGGCCCCUCACCGACGCGCAGCCCGCGCCUGGGCCGACCUGUUGACUGAAAAUCAGCCGGCGCUUGGCCAGAUGCGUCGAUGGAGGCCCGCAGCCCAGCGACGACGUGGUAGUCAUGGCUGAAGCGGCGCCUGCCCCGAAAUCACACUGUGGACCGUGGUGCCUGCUGUUCAGGCCUUGGAGAAGAAAAGUGGAUUCUUGCCUGGCCCGCUUGCUGACUCUGGAGGGAUGCUCAGGGACAGCAGAGAAGAAGCUGGCUGACUGUGAGAAGACAGCUGUGGAGUUCAGCAGCCAGCUGGAGGGCAAGUUGGCCGUGCUGGGGACCCUGCCUCAGGAGUCUAGGCUGCUGCAUGAAGAACCUCAUGGGCAACUGGAACUUCUGGGUCCAGCGGCUUCCCCCUGGCAACAAGGGGGAGGUCCCCAAGAGUGGGCCAAGCUGGAGGACUGGCAGAAGAGGCUCGACAAGCAUGUGAUGGGGGCAGCUAUGAGAUGCUCGUUUCCCUGGGUAUUUCUCUGAGUCCAGAGCAGGCCCCAAGUCCAGCUAGCCCUGCCCAGGAGGAACUGAAUCAAAGGCAGACACCUGAGCAGCAGCAAGAGGAAGCAACCAUGAUUCCACCUGAGCCAGGCACUGGGAUUCCAGCAAGCACCAGCCCUUUAUCACUUAAACAGGAGGAAGAAUCUGCAGAGGGAGGAGAGUUGCCACCCUCCCCUUCCACAGAUAGCCUGCUUUCUGUGGAGCCAGGAUCUUGCCAUCUGUCUCAGAAUGAACUCAUGGACCUAGAUGAGGGAGGGGAGUGACUUGCCUGUAUGUCACCCAUCCCAAACAAAUCCACCAAGGUGUGUGCUGCAGGACUCUAUGCAGGGUCCCUGGCCCCUGGCUUUUGCAGCUUGCUUCCUUCUCUGGUGUUCUUAGCUCAGCUUCCAGGAAUGAGGCAUAAGACAGCAAGCAAAGUUGAACAAUACAUGAGACACUCCUGCCCCGUGGUGUCUAUGACUAGGACCCCUGGCCUGAUCUAAUGGCACUCACAAAGACUGGGGAAGGGAGGGGAGGCCUGAACCUGGAGUAAGGCCUGGAUCGAAUGGCAGGGGAAGCCAUGAGGUCCCCUUGGAACCAGCAAUGAUUCCUAUGACCAUCAAGACAGAAGCCCCAUCUGAGGAUCAACCUGAGCAGAACCUUCUGCAGUCCUGCAGCCAGUCCGUAUUUAGAGUCCACAGAAGGACCAGGAUUAAGACCAGGGGCCACAGAUGGCAUCACACGGAUUGGGGAACCUCAGGCAGCAGAGGAUAUGGGAGAGCCACCCUGUAUCCUUCCUCAGCCACAGAAGCAGGCAUUCCUGUGCCCUGACUGUGGGCAGAGCUUCUGCUUGAAGAUUAAUCUGACAAUCCAUUAGCAGACCCAUGUAGAAAAGAAACACAAGGAGGCUUGGAGUGGCUUGCCUAUUAGGUCAGGGAAAAGCCACUCCACACUGGAACCAGAGAAAGUGGUGGUGCCAGGCCCUGUCAUCCACUGGCCACCUGAGGAGCCCACAAGCCACCGGUCUCCAACAAGCCAUGCCUUCAUGAGACAAAGGCCAGCAACUACAGUUUACCACUGUAGUGAAUGUCUUCACUCCUUUCAGCAACAGAAGAGCCUGGUAUUACACCAGCAUCAGCACACAGGCAAGAGGCAGAGCUGGCCUGCCUGUCCCUACUGUGGCAAGGCCUCCCGCCGGCCCUCAGACCUCUUUUGUCACCAGUGUAUCCAUACUGGUGAGCGUUCCUAUCAGUGCCCCCAGUGUGGCAAGGAGCCACCACCUGGCUGUCCACAUGCAGACUCAUUCCUGAGGCUAAACAAUCCUGCAUUUCCUCUUGCUUUCUGUCCUCCAGGGAAGUCCAGCCCUGCAAGGGCCCAGCUCUGAACAGGACAGGACCUGCACUGUCUCAGGGCCUUUCCCUUGUGCCUGCCAAGUGGUGGAAGUUCCUUCACUUUCCAGCUGAGUUGGUACUUUAGGGGCCCUUCAAAAGCACAAGCUCCAGACCAGGAAUUUGAGGUGAUAGUGUCAUGCCUCAAAGUCAUGAGAGCGGGUGCUUCAUGUGCCUCUUUGUCACAGCACCUUGGGGACAGCCUUGUGGAGCUUCUGGAGCUGGGUGAUGGAUUCCAAUUCUGAUAGUUUGCUCUCUUGUUUGGCACUCAGACACCAGAGCACAUGAAGGCUCCCAGGUGCCUUCAUCCCUGGCUGUGCUAUUGCUAAAGUCCUGCAGACUCUGUAGCCACUCAGAAGUCCUGCACAGACGAGGCAGAGGGUGACACUGCCGUCAUUCCCAGGGUAGGGGUAUGACUGGCAAGACUGUGGCAUGCAGCCAUGGUUCUGGACGUUACUUGCCUGCACACCCAACCGUUGUUUAGGCCCUGCAAGCAAGACAGCAGUUGUCAGUAAGCGCUCAGACUGAACGUGGACAGUAUAGCUGCCCCAAACUUAAUCCUCCGCUGCAAGCACUCAUGUUGCUGUUCUGGGGGUUCCUAGGCCUCUCUUCUAAUGCUUUAGAUGUUCUCUGGAAAACAAGUAUUCAUAUUUGAAGCACAAAUCCAAGUGCUGGGGUGGGGGAAGAGGCGCUGUAUAAUCCUGGCUCGCCUUGGGCUUGCAGUGAAUUUUUUUCCCCUACCUCUAUCUACCUACUAGGAUUUCCUUGCUUGUGCCAUUAUGCACAACUGGGCUUACUGCAUUUAACCUGAAAUUCAAUAGGACAGGUUAAAGAGUAUUUUGAGUUAAGAAUGAACAAAGGCUGCAUGGUUGCCUGAGCUCAAAGACGUUGGAUCCCAGAUUCUGAUGACUUAUUUUGUAAAACAAAGAUAUGGUUGGGUUGGUUACAAGGCCCUAAGAACCAUGGAGGUGGAAAUAUUAACUUAAUCGGUGCUCUAUAAAUACACUGGAAAAUGUA
rnacentral:lncRNA from 1 species